rnacentral:rRNA from 1 species
CCUACGGGUGGCAGCAGUGGGGAAUAUUGCACAAUGGGGGAAACCCUGAUGCAGCAACGCCGCGUGGGUGACGAAGGAAUUCGGUAUGUAAAGCUCUAUCGGCAGAGAAGAAAAUGACGGUACCUGAGUAAGAAGCACCGGCUAACUACGUGCCAGCAGCCGCGGUAAUACGGAGGGUGCAAGCGUUAUCCGGAGUUACUGGGCGUAAAGAGAGCGUAGGCGGGAGUGCAAGUCAGGAGUGAAAGGCUGGGGCUCAACCACAGUACUGCGUUGGAAACUGUACUGCUAGAGUUGAGGAGAGGUAAGUGGAAUUCUUGGUGUAGGGGUGAAAUGCGGAGAGAUCAGGAGGAAUACUAGUUGCGAAGGCGGCCUACUGGAACGUAACUGACGCUGAGGCGCGAAAGCGUGGGGAGCAAACAGGAUUAGAUACCCCUGUAGUC